rnacentral:rRNA from 1 species
AUUGAACGCUGGCGGCAUGCCUUACACAUGCAAGUCGAACGGCAGCACGGGUGCUUGCACCUGGUGGCGAGUGGCGAACGGGUGAGUAAUAUAUCGGAACGUACCUUAUUGUGGGGGAUAACGCAGCGAAAGCUGUGCUAAUACCGCAUAAUCCCUAAGGGGGAAAGCGGGGGACCGUAAGGCCUCGCGCAAUUAGAGCGGCCGAUACCUGAUUAGCUAGUUGGUGAGGUAAAGGCUCACCAAGGCAACGAUCAGUAGCUGGUCUGAGAGGACGAUCAGCCACACUGGGACUAAGACACGGCCCAGACUCCUACGGGAGGCAGCAGUGGGGAAUUUUGGACGAUGGGGGCAACCCUGAUCCAGCAAUGCCGCGUGAGUGAAGAAGGCCUUCGGGUCGUAAAGCUCUUUUGUCAGGGAAGAAACAGCAGCUCUAACACAGUUUGCGAAUGACGGUACCUGAAGAAUAAGCACCGGCUAACUACGUGCCAGCAGCCGCCGUAA